rnacentral:rRNA from 1 species
GACGAACGCUGGCGGCGUGCUUAACACAUGCAAGUCGAACGGUGAAAGCGGAGCUUGCUCCGCUGGAUCAGUGGCGAACGGGUGAGUAACACGUGGGCAACCUGCCCUUCACUUCGGGAUAACUCCGGGAAACCGGGGCUAAUACCGGAUAUGACCUCCUUGGGCAUCCUUGGAGGUGGAAAGUUUUUCGGUGAGGGAUGGGCCCGCGGCCUAUCAGCUUGUUGGUGAGGUAGUGGCUCACCAAGGCGACGACGGGUAGCCGGCCUGAGAGGGCGACCGGCCACACUGGGACUGAGACACGGCCCAGACUCCUACGGGAGGCAGCAGUGGGGAAUAUUGCGCAAUGGGCGAAAGCCUGACGCAGCAACGCCGCGUGCGGGAUGACGGCCUUCGGGUUGUAAACCGCUUUCAGCAGGGAAGAAGCCGCAAGGUGACGGUACCUGCAGAAGAAGCACCGGCUAACUACGUGCCAGCCGCCGUAAUAC